UGUUUACACAAUCUUGAACACCUGAAAUUCUUAUACAAUUCAAUCUUGAGAGGUAGAAACUUUCCAGGACUUGCUUGGAAAAGAUAGAGCUUGAUUUCGUUAAAGAUAAAGCUAAAAUGUCUGCAUUGUUACUCUUGAUUGCUAAAAAAGGGUUAUUCAACCUCAAUGGCUACAAUCAUAUAGGAAGGGGCAACAGAGGAGCAAAGAAAGUUUCAGCUGUUUUGCAUGCAGCACAAGCUGCAAUUCAAGUCCAUCAACUAACAACUCAGAAUCCUAGACCUGAAUCAACAAAACUAAAGUGGAGAAAUCUAGUUCUCAAUGGAUCAUUUCAACUGAAAUUAAAGUAACGGCAACAAAAACACCUUAAGGAACCACAAAUCAAUUAGUGUCAAGGCGUAUUUUGUCGUGAUCUUGCUACAAUUGGGAAUUUACUAACUUAAGUUGGCUUUAGUCGUCCAAUCCAAUCAAUUACGAGGCACUGAGAUGCUAAGUAUAACACCCCAAGAAAAGGAAAAAAGCCAAAAAAAAAAAAUCAAAUCUUUUUGAGAUGUUAUCAACGGGAGAAUCUUUGGUUCAUUCUCAACAAAAGUCACCAAAUCAUAUGUUCCUUUCACUAAAAGAAUUACAGAAUCGCAUUUGAAUUACCUUUGCAAAAAUGGUCGUUUAAAUGAGGUCGUAUCUGCUCUUGAAUUGACAGCUCAACAUGGCUCUAAGUUUCAUGUCCCCGUACAAGCAAUGGAGAAAUGUUUUGCUAGUUCUGAUCCUACUUUCUUGAAAAUUGGGCAAUUAAUCUCCCUUUAUUUCUUACUAAAUGACACUGGGCAACAGUGUUUUAUGAGUUGGUUAUUCUUCUAACUAAAGCAUUGGAGGAAAUCUAUGGCAGAGUAAUUGUCCCUGUGUCUGUUUCCAGAUUCUUGUUGAAGUAAGAAUGUGUAGUUUACUUAAUUGGCUAAUCUAAGUUUCAUGUUUUCUG